rnacentral:rRNA from 1 species
GAUGAACGCUGGCGGCGUGCCUAAUACAUGCAAGUCGAGCGAACGGACGAGAAGCUUGCUUCUCUGAUGUUAGCGGCGGACGGGUGAGUAACACGUGGAUAACCUACCUAUAAGACUGGGAUAACUUCGGGAAACCGGAGCUAAUACCGGAUAAUAUUUUGAACCGCAUGGUUCAAAAGUGAAAGACGGUCUUGCUGUCACUUAUAGAUGGAUCCGCGCUGCAUUAGCUAGUUGGUAAGGUAACGGCUUACCAAGGCAACGAUGCAUAGCCGACCUGAGCGGGUGAUCGGCCACACUGGAACUGAGACACGGUCCAGACUCCUACGGGAGGCAGCAGUAGGGAAUCUUCCGCGAUGGGCGAAAGCCUGACGGAGCAACGCCGCGUGAGUGAUGAAGGUCUUCGGAUCGUAAAACUCUGUUAUUAGGGAAGAACAUAUGUGUAAGUAACUGUGCACAUCUUGACGGUACCUAAUCAGAAAGCCACGGCUAACUACGUG